AUGCGAGAGCUGGGACUGACGGAGGAAGACCUAGAUGAUGUGAUCUUUGAUGAGAAGCAAGCUCCUGCGGAGGGGCCUAGAUGGAUCAUGCUUGCCAGAGUCAACACCACCAAGACAUACAGCCAGACCGGGUUCUAUAGGAACAUGCGUUCGGCGUGGGAUGCUGCGCAGGAAGUGAAGUUCAAACCUCUUGAAGAGAAUCUGUAUACCGUCCAGUUCUCGUGCUUGGGAGAUUGGGAG
rnacentral:rRNA from 1 species